UUGUGAUUUAAAAAUUAGGACAACUAGACUAUUUGUGGACAGAUGAAUAAUCAUUAAAAAAUUUCAUCAAUAUGUUGUAUUUUAAAAUAAUUUUCUUAAAAACUGCUAUUUUUAGAAAGUUUUUAUUUUUUAGAAAAAUAUUGUAGAUUUGGUUUUGUGAUUUAAAAAUUAGGACAACUAGACUAUUUGUGGACAGAUGAAUAAUCAUUAAAAAAUUUCAUCAAUAUGUUGUAUUUUAAAAUAAUUUUCUUAAAAACUGCUAUUUUUAGAAAGUUUUUAUUUUUUAGAAAAAUAUUGUAGAUUUGGUUUUGUGAUUUAAAAAUUAGGACAACUAGACUAUUUGUGGACAGAUGAAUAAUCAUUAAAAAAUUUCAUCAAUAUGUUGUAUUUUAAAAUAAUUUUCUUAAAAACUGCUAUUUUUAGAAAGUUUUUAUUUUUUAGAAAAAUAUUAUAGAUUUAGGUUUGUGAUUUAGAAAUUAGGACAACAAGAAUAUUUGUGGAUAGAUCGGUAUUCUUUCGGAGUUUUUCAUCAACAGUUUCUAUUUUUAAAUAAUUUUCUUAAAAACUGCUAUUUUUGAAAAUUUUUCAUUUUUAGAGAAAUAUUAUAGAUUUGGGUUUGUGAUUUAGAAAUUAGGACAACAAGAAUAUUUGUGGAUAGAUGAGUAUUCUUUCGGAGUUUUUCAUUAGUAGGUUGUAUUUUUGAAUAAUUUUCUUUAAAUCUGCUAUUUUUGGAAAGUUUUCAUUAUUAGAGAAAUAUUAUAGAGUUGGGUAUGUGAUUUAGAAAUUAGGAUAAUUAGAAUAUUUUUGGAUAGACGAAUACUCUUUAAGAAAUUUUCAUCAAUAUGUUGUAUUUUUAAAUAAUUUUCUUAAAAACUGCUAUUUUAAGAAAAAAAUUAUUUUUUAGAGAAAUAUUAUAGAUUUAGGUUUGUGAUUUAGAAAUUAGGACAACUAGACUAUUUGUGGACAGAUGAAUAAUUUUUAAGAAUUUUUCAUCAAUAUGUCGUAUUUUUAAAUAAUUUUCUUAAAAACUGCAACUUUUAGAAAGUUUUAAUUUUUUAGAGAAAUAUUAUAGGUUUGAGUUUUGUGAUUUAGAAAUUAGGACAACAAGAAUAUUUGUUGAUAGAUGGGUAUUCUUUCGGAGUUUUUCAUCAACAGUUUUGUUUUCAAAUAAUUUUCUUAAAUACUGUUAUUUUUCGAAAAAUUUCAUUUUUAGAGAAAUAUUAUAGAUUUGGGUUUGUGAUUUAGAAAUUAGGACAACAAGAAUAUUUGUUGAUAGAUGGGUAUUCUUUCGGAGUUUUUCAUCAACAGUUUUGUUUUCAAAUAAUUUUCUUAAAUACUGUUAUUUUUCGAAAAAUUUCAUUUUUAGAGAAAUAUUAUAGAUUUGGGUUUGUGAUUUAGAAAUUAGUACAAAAAGAAUAUUUGUGGAUAGAUGAGUAUUCUUUCGGAUUUUUUCAUCAAUAGGUUGUAUUUUUGAAUAAUUUUCUUAAAAACUACUAUGUUUUUAAAAGUUUUCAUUUUUUAGAGAAAUAUUGUAGAUUUGGGUUUGUGAUUUAAAAAUUAAGACAAUUAGACUAUUUGUGGACAGAUGAAUAAUCUUUAAGAAAUUUUCAUCAAUAUGUUGUAUUUUUAAAUAAUUUUUCUCAAAAACUGCUAUUUUUGGAAAA
rnacentral:lncRNA from 1 species